UAGUUCCUGAUUAAAAUCUGCUUCUACCAUUUUAACUGCUAUCCAGCUCUGGUUUUCUUCAACAGCUUUCUGGAGUUCCUAAUGUCAUCAAUAAGCUGAAGUCCCCAAGGAUAAUGACAUGGUCUUCUCUUUCUGUUGUCUCCAUGGUGACAAGGACUCUGCAUCUUGUGUCUGAGAUUUGCUAUGGACUGGAUCUUAUAUCCAAGGUUUUCUCUGAUGACAAGGAUGAAACUUUCCUGCUUUAGGACGGAAAGAAGACUUAUGAACAAGAGCUUUGACAUACUGAGUCAUAACCUAGGAAACCAUAAAGAAUCUUCUAAUGAUUCUUUUUUCAGAUGUAUUGCUACUUUAUCCCCUUCUUUUGAAAAGGAGCUGAAAAGAACCAUAAUAUAUCCAAAUUUUGAGAAGUUAGCACUGAGAUCCACGGAAUAAAUAUGUCAUUCAAAGGUAUAAGCACUUCAAUUUCCUUCUGAAUCACCAUAUAGCAUUCUGAAAUCACUGUGUGGACAGGAACCAACAGCUCUUGGCUGGUUAGAGCCUGAAACCAUCUGCUUCCCUAGUUCUCCCAUGUUGCUAUCCCCGACACUUUCUAGUUUCCUGGUCAGGGGGGACAAAUUCUUCUUUAUAUUCCAAUAUUCCUCCCACGCACUCCACAUGUUUUCAAAAUGCCUUCUGUCAAAUGCAGACAUUAUUGAAAUGACUUAUCAAGUGAGGUGGGCAGGCAGAGCUAGCAUCCCAACUCUAGUGCUUGCCUAACAGGAGUGUGCACAUCAAUUCCACACCCUGGCUUAAUAAUAGACUUCACAAUGCCCUCUCUCCUUAUAACUAACUCUCACUCCCUCCAUCUUGAGGUCACAGUUUUGGAAGAAAAGUCUAAAAGUCUUCCCCUUCACCUGCUCAUCCCUCUUCCUCUUCAAAUAUUUUCC
rnacentral:lncRNA from 1 species